AUUGAACGCUAGCGGGAUGCUUUACACAUGCAAGUCGAACGAGUGGCGGACGGGUGAGUAAUAUAUCGGAACGUGCCCAGUAGCGGGGGAUAACUACUCGAAAGAGUGGCUAAUACCGCAUACUUUGGACGCGGCGGAUAUCGGAUUAGCUAGUUGGUGGGGUAAAGGCUCACCAAGGCAACGACCCGUAGCUGGUUUGAGAGGACGACCAGCCACACUGGGACGGAGACACGGCCCAGACUCCUACGGGAGGCAGCAGUGGGGAAUUUUGGACAAUGGGGGAAACCCUGAUCCAGCCAUCCCGCGUGUAUGAGAAGGCCUUCGGGUUGUAAAGUACUUUUGGCAGAGAAGCGGUAUCUGCAGAAUAAGCACCGGCUAACUACGUGCCAGCAGCCGCGGUAAUUC
rnacentral:rRNA from 1 species